rnacentral:rRNA from 1 species
UCCAAUCGAACCCGGAGAUAGCUGGUUCUCCCCGAAAUAGCUUUAGGGCUAGCGUCGAGGUAAGUUGCGUGAAGGUAGAGCACUGAAUAUGUGAUGGCCCCAUCUCGGGGUACUGAGCAUAAUCAAACUGCGAAUGUCACGCCAACAUGCUCGGCAGUCAGACAGCGGGUGAUAAGGUCCGUUGUCAAGAGGGAAACAGCCCAGACCAUCAGCUAAGGUCCCAAAAUGUAUGCUAAGUGGAAAAGGAUGUGGAGAUGUACAGACAACUAGGAGGUUGGCUCAGAAGCAGCCAUCCUUUAAAGAGUGCGUAACAGCUCACUAGUCGAAUGACUCUGCGCCGAUAAUUUACCGGGGCUAAGCAUACUACCGAAGCUAUGGAUCCCAAGGGAUGGUAGGGGAGCGUUCCAUGAACGGAGAAGUACGACCGAAAGGACGUGUGGAGAUCAUGGAAGAGAGAAUGCCGGUGUGAGUAGCGGAACGUGGGUGAGAAUCCCACGCACCGAAAACCCAAGGUUUCCAGAGGAAGGUUCGUCCGCUCUGGGUAAGUCGGGACCUAAGGCGAGGCCGAAAGGCGUAGUCGAUGGACAACAGGUAGAGAUUCCUGUACCCGUAUAUAUGUGAAGGAAUGACGGAGAGAGGAAGCUGCAGCCAGCGGCUGGAAGAGCUGGUGCAAGCGAGAUAUCGGGAUGGCAGGCAAAUCCACCAUCCGAAACGAGAAGGCGUGAAGCGUACGGAAAGCUACGGCGAGUACGGAAGGCAGUGGAGGAACUUCCAAGAAAAGUUUCUAACGUUAAGUAUAUAUGGCCCGUACCGAAAAUGGACACACAUGGGUGAGGAGAGAAUCCUAAGGUGAGCGAGAGAACUAUAGCUAAGGAACUCUGCAAAAUGACUCCGUAACUUAGGGAGAAGGAGUGCUCAUAGAGAUAUGAGCCGCAGUGAAACGGCCCAAGCGACUGUUUACCAAAAACACAGCUCUCUGCUAAGCCGCAAGGCGAAGUAUAGGGGGUGACGCCUGCCCGGUGCUGGAAGGUUAAGGGGAGGGGUUAACGCAAGUGAAGCCCUGAACUGAAGCCCCAGUAAACGGCGGCCGUAACUAUAACGGUCCUAAGGUAGCGAAAUUCCUUGUCAGGUAAGUUCUGACCCGCACGAAAGGCGUAACGAUUUGGGCGCUGUCUCAGCUGUAGACUCGGUGAAGUCUUAGUACCUGUGAAGAUGCAGGUUACCCGCGACUAGACGGAAAGACCCCAUGGAGCUUCACUGCAGGUUGAUAUUGGGAUUUGAUGCAGCAUGUACAGGAUAGGUAGGAGGCAAAGAGAUGGAUACGCCAGUAUUCAAGGAGCCGCUGUUGGGAUACUACCCCUGUUGUAUUGGAUUUCUAACCGGACGACGUAGAGCCGUUGACGGGACAGUGUCAGUCGGGCAGUUUGACUGGGGCGGUCGCCUCCCAAAGAGUAACGGAGGCGCCCAAAGAUACCCUCAGCUUGGAUGGAAACCAAGCGCAGAGUGCAAAGGCAAAAGGGUGUUUGACUGCGAGACCCACAAGUCGAGCAGGGACGAAAGUCGGGCUUAGUGAUCCGGCGGUGCUGAAUGGAAAGGCCGUCGCUCAACGGAUAAAAGCUACCCUGGGGAUAACAGGCUGAUCUCCCCCAAGAGUUCACAUCGACGGGGAGGUUUGGCACCUCGAUGUCGGCUCAUCGCAUCCUGGAGCUGAAGUCGGUUCCAAGGGUUGGGCUGUUCGCCCAUUAAAGCGGUACGCGAGCUGGGUUCAGAACGUCGUGAGACAGUUCGGUCCCUAUCUGUCGUGGGCGCAGGAAAUUUGAGAAGAGCUGUCCUCAGUACGAGAGGACCGGGAUGGACGCAUCAAUGGUGGACCAGUUGUCACGCCAGUGGCAUAGCUGGGUAGCUAAAUGCGGAAGGGAUAAACGCUGAAGGCAUCUAAGUGUGAAACCCACUUCAAGAUGAGAUUUCCCAUUGCGCAAGCAAGUAAGACCCCUUAAAGACGAUAAGGUAGAUAGGUCAGGAGUGUAAGCAUGGUGACAUGUUAAGCGGACUGAUACUAAUAGGUCGAGGGCUUGACCGA